rnacentral:tRNA from 1 species
GCCCGGAUGGCGGAACUGGUAGACGCGCAUGGUUCAGGACCAUGUUCCCUUACGGGAGUGGAGGUUCGAUUCCUCUUCCGGGCACCA